GAUGAACGCUGGCGGCGUGCCUAAUACAUGCAAGUCGAGCGAACGGACGAGAAGCUUGCUUCUCUGAUGUUAGCGGCGGACGGGUGAGUAACACGUGGAUAACCUACCUAUAAGACUGGGAUAACUUCGGGAAACCGGAGCUAAUACCGGAUAAUAUUUUGAACCGCAUGGUUCAAAAGUGAAAGACGGUCUUGCUGUCACUUAUAGAUGGAUCCGCGCUGCAUUAGCUAGUUGGUAAGGUAACGGCUUACCAAGGCAACGAUGCAUAGCCGACCUGAGAGGGUGAUCGGCGACACUGGAGCGGAGACACGGUCCAGACGCCUACGGGAGGCAGCAGUAGGGAAUCUUCCGCAAUGGGCGAAAGCCUGACGGAGCAACGCCGCGUGAGUGAUGAAGGUCUUCGGAUCGUAAAACUCUGUUAUUAGGGAAGAACAUAUGUGUAAGUAACUGUGCACAUCUUGACGGUACCUAAUCAGAAAGCCACGGCUAACUACGUG
rnacentral:rRNA from 1 species